rnacentral:rRNA from 1 species
GUUCCAAACCUGGCAGAGUAUAGGAUUUCUUUAAACACAGAUAUAAAACUGGAUCAGCGAAGGUACAAUGCUCCUACAACUUCUCAGGUGGCUACGAUGUGGGUUGAAGGGAGUGACCCACAGAACACCUUUGAUAGAAGUGUUAUUGUGUAUGGAAAAGGGGAUCGUCCUGUAUAUAUCAGAGCAUACUAUGGAUGCUAUGAUCCUUUGGCGUAUCCAUUAUUUUUUCCCCGCGGGGAAACAGGAUGGAACCGUUUCAUGCCGUAUGAUGGACUAGCUACUGUUCAAACAAACCGCGAGGAUGACACCGGUGAGGUACCACCUUCUCUUCCUCAGGCCAACGAGGAUGAACACAUGAUGAAGGAUGUGAGGUUCCAGCAGGUAAUUAUAGGGUUGUUCCAUCUUGUAGAUGACAACGAGAGCCAGGAUGAAGAUGGGGUUGUGGAGUCCAGGAAAUUUGUCAGCGCACGCGAGUACUAUUGUUUCAAGCUACAAGUUAGGAAAGGACUUUUUAACAUCAUAUUGUUCGGUCAUCGCCUUCUCCAGCAGUGGGCUGUUGAUAUGUACAUAAAGAUGGAGACUAUGAGGCUUGAUUUCUAUUCAAAACCUCAGAAUCAGAAGCUCAUACGCGCCGAACUCUACCAGGUAAUGUUUGCCAUUGUGCUAUCAACAAUGACUUGA